CGUGUUCACUGUUGGCCUUGAUGUGGAUAUUGUCAUAAGGCACGCGGUGAAUGCCAA
rnacentral:pre_miRNA from 1 species